rnacentral:rRNA from 1 species
CAGGCCUAACACAUGCAAGUCGAGCGGCAGCGGGAAAGUAGCUUGCUACUUUUGCCGGCGAGCGGCGGACGGGUGAGUAAUGCCUGGGAAAUUGCCCAGUCGAGGGGGAUAACAGUUGGAAACGACUGCUAAUACCGCAUACGCCCUACGGGGGAAAGCAGGGGACCUUCGGGCCUUGCGCGAUUGGAUAUGCCCAGGUGGGAUUAGCUAGUUGGUGAGGUAAUGGCUCACCAAGGCGACGAUCCCUAGCUGGUCUGAGAGGAUGAUCAGCCACACUGGAACUGAGACACGGUCCAGACUCCUACGGGAGGCAGCAGUGGGGAAUAUUGCACAAUGGGGGAAACCCUGAUGCAGCCAUGCCGCGUGUGUGAAGAAGGCCUUCGGGUUGUAAAGCACUUUCAGCGAGGAGGAAAGGUCAGUAGCUAAUAUCUGCUGACUGUGACGUUACUCGCAGAANAAGCACCGGCUAACUCCGUGCCAGC